CGGCCGACGGCGCCCGCCACCCCGCUUUCACCGGAAGCCCUUGCAGAAUCCGCCGAGUGUGCCCGGGGGUCUCGGCCCGCUGUUCCGGAGACUGAUCGCAGCUGGGGAGUACUUGCCGGGAAGACUGGCAGGAGGGCAGCUCUGGGUAAUGACCGGUCGUACGGCUGUUUCUCUGUUCUUGGAAGUUGAGGGAGUUCCGCUCAGGAGCUCCAGGGUCGUGGGGGACAGCGUUGAAGGUAGCCCCUCCCGUCUGGUCUGCAGGCCGGGCCGGUGCCCCAGGCCUAGGGGCUUUCGGGCAGGUGAGCGGCAAGCCUCCAGCGUGCCUGGGUCUGGGGUGGCCCCGUGCAUUCCUUCAGUGCUUGCAAGAACAUUGGGAAACGGUUUGAGGCCUUGCCCUGCUCCAUCCAGAGCAAGGUUAUAGACAUUUCGAACAGAUGACCGCGUUUUUUCCAUUUCUGAUGUACUGCACGUUGUAAACAUCUGCAGUUGCCACGUGAGUUUAGAGGAAGUAAAGUUUCAAAUCCGGGUUUUUAUUCACUGCUCACCUGGCAGGUGCUCAGGAGACACACUUUUGGCAAAUGGCUACUGUUGGAGACCAUGCAGCUCACAGAACGUUCACAUCUACAGAAGUUAUUUUGGAUUUGGGGGUGUUUGCUGUGUUCACGCUCGCUGCAGAUUUUAUUUUAUUGUCCUUAAAAGCCUUGCAAAAGUUGGAAAUGAAGUUUAGGGGGAGUGGUAAAGGGGGAGCCUCCGGGAAUGAUGAGUGGAAAACAGUGCCAGACGAGCCCGGUGGGAUGGAUGGAUGGAUGGGAUAUCACAAGUUGUAGGAAAAAAACGGUGAAAUUCUGCAGUGGGGCUGCUGGAGGGUGAAGCCAGCAUGUGCUCAUCUUAAAGGAGGGCACCCCUGUUGGUCUUUGUUCUUCCCGCAGUUCAAAUCCUUGGGGACCCCCGAGAGGUGGUCUUGGGUCCAAUAUGGAACAGGGGCCCACGUCCAGGGUUGCCCAGCCAGAAACUGGCAGAUCGCGAUUGCACAGCAGGCCUCUCCCACCCUACUUACUGUCUGCCCUUUCCCAGAUGCCAGACCCAGAGGGAGGAGUGGAAUCUGGAAGCGGGUGGGAAGCUUAGGUGGGAGGGGAAUGCCCGGGGUGUCCUGGCCUUGGUGGAGGGCUGUUGGGUGCUGUCAGGGAUGGGCCAGUGUGGUCAUGGCAGGGCAGCAUAGCUCCUCUGGGUGGCCGGGUCACACCACGUCUCCUCUGAAGGUUGAGGCUUUCAGCAGACUUGGGAUCUGCCUCUUCAGUCCACGUGCAGACGCUGACCACACCGGCCUCGAGGACACACUCAGUCUCAUGUUUCUGCGGUCCUGUGAGCAAGGCAUUGACUGAACUCUGGCCCAUCUUCAGAUGUUCAAAUAGCAGCCAGCUUUGGGACAUACAAGGGAGUGCCUCCUCUGAGGCAGAGAGCAGGUAAAAGGCUUGGCUUUCCUGUAACACGCAGCCCUCCCUGUGUGUGGGUGUCUUCCGGCUCCCCUGGUGGGAAUUGGGGCUGGGGGAAGAUGCCGACGCCCUGACUGCUGCUGCUGAGAAGGGUCAGCUCUGUAAUCAAAGGGCCUCGUGUGUCCUACCAGCAUGCUUGAAACUGGCGGGCCACCUUGUCACCCUGCCCAGCACAUGACAGUACUGUCCGCGGUCCCCCAGUGUGUCAGCCACCGCAAUCCCAAGACGCAAGAGCCCUGAGAGAUGGCCUCGGUGGCUGCCAAGCCAUUCCUGGCAUCUGCAGUGGUGAGUGUGCUGGAGAGGUCUGUCUUCACUUCACCUCUACUAAUUUCCCUGAGUCCCCUGCCCGAGAAGUUCAAAACCAUCAACUUAUUCUGAUCUUCCCAUAUUGAAAAUCAGAUGAUGGAGUCCCAGAAAGAUUAAUUGCUUUCAAGCUCACGAGACUAUUUUUGGACGAUAGGGGUCUAAUACCUGGACUCCUCAGGCCCUGAUUCUUUGGCACGGUGUUGAUUGCCUUGGUGGUUUUGGAUUCGACCUGCAGCCUUUUCCCCAGGAACCUCCGGGGUUGGUGGUGUGCUGGCCUGGGAAGGCCAGGCUGCUGCUGAGUCCCAUCACAGCGCUGGUUAGCUCAUGGUGUGGCCAGGGGUGUGGAUCCUGGUCCAGUUCUGUCCCUGCCUCUAUGGCAACUGACAUUUGGGAGUCCCUGGCUGUGCUCAAGUUAAUUUUUCACAGCAGGCCUCCAAGUCCCUCCUCCUCCUGCCUGAAGGUGUGGCCUCACCACAGACAUGCCCUUGUGCUGCUCCCAUUCUCAAAGCAGGUGCGAGUCCUGGCAUGCUCCCCUUCAUGGAGGCAGCUGGAAUUUUUUGUUUUCUGCCCAGGCUGGGGUCAGGGUGGCCUGGGGCCUGGUGUGCGACUCUAACUGGCGUUCUCUGAUCUCAGGUUUGGAUACCGCUGCGCUGUCUGCUUCCAAAACAAGGCUCGUCGCUGUCAUUGUGACCCCGGCCCCUCUGACAGCUCCUGUGUGGGAAGAUGGGGAUAGUUAAUAAAAUCUUUUCAGUGUGUGGUUCAGCCCGG
rnacentral:lncRNA from 1 species